GGGGAAUAUUGCACAAUGGGGGAAACCCUGAUGCAGCGACGCCGCGUGGAGGAAGAAGGUCUUCGGAUUGUAAACUCCUGUUGUUGAGGAAGAUAAUGACGGUACUCAACAAGGAAGUGACGGCUAACUACGUGCCAGCAGCCGCGGUAAAACGUAGGUCACAAGCGUUGUCCGGAAUUACUGGGUGUAAAGGGAGCGCAGGCGGGAAGACAAGUUGGAAGUGAAAUCUAUGGGCUCAACCCAUAAACUGCUUUCAAAACUGUUUUUCUUGAGUAGUGCAGAGGUAGGCGGAAUUCCCGGUGUAGCGGUGGAAUGCGUAGAUAUCGGGAGGAACACCAGUGGCGAAGGCGGCCUACUGGGCACCAACUGACGCUGAGGCUCGAAAGUGUGGGUAGCAAACAGGAUUAGAUACCCUGGUAGUCCACACCGUAAACGAUGAUUACUAGGUGUUGGAGGAUUGACCCCUUCAGUGCCGCAGUUAACACAAUAAGUAAUCCACCUGGGGAGUACGACCGCAAGGUUGAAACUCAAAGGAAUUGACGGGGGCCCGCACAAGCAGUGGAGUAUGUGGUUUAAUUCGACGCAACGCGAAGAACCUUACCAAGUCUUGACAUCCCUUGACGAACAUAGAAAUAUGUUUUCUCUUCGGAGCAAGGAGACAGGUGGUGCAUGGUUGUCGUCAGCUCGUGUCGUGAGAUGUUGGGUUAAGUCCCGCAACGAGCGCAACCCUUACUGUCAGUUACUACGCAAGAGGACUCUGGCAGGACUGCCGUUGACAAAACGGAGGGAGGUGGGGAUGACGUCAAAUCAUCAUGCCCUUUAUGACUUGGGCUACACACGUACUACAAUGGCGUUAAACAAAGAGAAGCAAGACCGCGAGGUGGAGCAAAACUCAGAAACAACGUCCCAGUUCGGACUGCAGGCUGCAACUCGCCUGCACGAAGUCGGAAUUGCUAGUAAUCGUGGAUCAGCAUGCCACGGUGAAUACGUUCCCG
rnacentral:rRNA from 1 species